AACGUAGGUGGCAAGCGUUGUCCGGAUUUACUGGGUGUAAAGGGCGUGUAGGCGGAGAUGCAAGUCAGAUGUGAAAACCCGGGGCUCAACCCCGGGACUGCAUUGGAAACUGUUCAUCUAGAGUGCUGGAGAGGUAAGUGGAAUUCCUAGUGUAGCGGUGAAAUGCGUAGAUAUUAGGAGGAACACCAGUGGCGAAGGCGGCUUACUGGACAGUAACUGACGUUGAGGCUCGAAAGCGUGGGGAGCAAACAGG
rnacentral:rRNA from 1 species